rnacentral:rRNA from 1 species
GAUCUUUAUUUUUAUUUUUUAUAAAUUAAAAAAAAUAUAAAAAUUUAUAUUAAGAUUAAAAAUUUUAUUGGGGUGAUAUUAAAAUUUAAUAAACUUUUAUUAUUAAAAACAUAAAUGUAUGAAUAUUUGAUCCAAUUAUAUUGAUUAAAAAAUUAAGUUACCUUAGGGAUAACAGCGUAAUUUUUUUUUAGAGUUCAUAUCGACAGAAAAGAUUGC